rnacentral:tRNA from 10 species
CUUGUAUACUUUAGACUUCAUUUUAUAAAAUUACAUUUUUAAAACUUUUUACAUUUUUAGGAAAUACAUGUUAGCUAAAAAACUGUGUUUUGCUCCCUGCUACGUUUGCUUAUCCUAUCCUUCAUUACUCCUUGGAUUUUAGUCUAACUGGUCUUGGGACAUGCCUCUUCCCCACAAACACCCCCACCACCAUACCACAUUGCUGUGACACAUUUAGCUUGUUAAUGUGGUAAGAGUGGAGCUCACUUACAGAAUUUUUGCAGACUAGACCUUAGGCUACAGGUCUUUACCAUGGAGCAGAAAAGUGGUAUCUCAAACCUCAUCCACAAAGGUUGAUCUAGUCCAAGCCCCUCUCCAGGUUCAUGUCCAUGUACAGCUUUGUUCUUAUUGUAACAACCUACAUUUUAGAAUAGGCAACGAAGACCAUUACCAAGAGCAGUAGGAGGGGCAACCUUCGGCUGUUUGUUUUUCAGGAUCUCAACUUGUGAACUUACUCUUCUCUUCACAGAAUGGGAUAACUGCCUGGCACUCACCAAGCUACACUUGAAGAGGAUCAAUCCAUGUCAUCAUGUCCCCAAUUUCAUAGCACCAAGUAUUUUGUUUAUUCACAAAUGCCCUAUUAUGGACAUCUAGCAAACAAUGAUACAUCAGAAAAGGAGAUGUGCAUAAAUUUUCAUGGAAUAAGGUAUAAAGCCCAACUCUCAAUACAUACUAAUCAUAACAGGAGUCUAAGAAAUAUUCUGAAAUAAAUGGGAAUGCAGAAUGUGUCAGGCCUCUGAGCCCAAGCUAAGCCAUCAUAUCCCCUGUGACCAGCACGUACACAUCCAGAUGGCCGGUUCCUGCCUUAACUGAUGACAUUCCACCACAAAAGAAAUUAAAAUGGCCUGUUCUUGCCUUAACUGAUGACAUUAUCUUGUGAAAUUCCUUCUCCUGGCUCAUCCUGGCUCAAAAGCUCCCCAACUGAGCAUCUUGUGACCCCCACUCUUGCCUGCCAGAGAACAACCCCACUUUUUCCUUUACCUACCCAAAUCCUAUAAAACAGCCCCACCCCUAUCUCCCUUCGCUGACUCUCUUUUUGGACUCAGCCCGCCUGCACCCAGGUGAUUAAAAUCUUUAUUGCUCACGGAUGCGCAUGAAAGAAUGUGCCACAGAAAAUGAGACACAUCAAUGAGGGUUGUGGAAAAUGCACUAGAAUCAACAAACAUGGGGACUAAUUCAACUCGGAUAUCAUGUCUUCAGAGAAGUUUCUCCUGCCCUCCUCUCCCUGUAGAAUUAAGUAUUCUUCCACUGUGCCACCCUCUAACUUGUGCUCAUAUCUUCCUCUAUUGUAGUUAUGUGUUCACAUCCCUGUUGUUUUUGUACCGGCUUCUCCCAAAGGGAGACAUUUAGUCUUAUUCUUCUUGGUAACUUUAGCACAGACCUGGCAGAUUGUUGACACUCAACAAAUGUUUAUUGACUCAAAUGCAUUCAGUUGAACAUUGACCUUUGAUCAACUCUGGGAAAAGUCUGCAAAGCUAGUUAGGACAUUCAGAAAUUCAUUUCAUUUCAAUCCUAACUAAAUAAAUUAUUGAAGUCUCAGAACUUCUCAGUACUUGAUUUAGACACAUAGAAACUUGGGUAAAUAACACCUAUAUUGUUAUAUUCCUCAAGAAAAAGUUUAUCUUUUCAUGAAAUGAAUCUACUGAGGAUAUUUAUAGAAACUGAAUGUAAGUGAGCAGAAUAAAGUGGUGUGUGUGUGUGUGUGUGUGUGUGUGUAUGUAAUUUGAAGAGUAGGUGGGAGAAGGUUGUGAUAGGAUAGCAGAUCUUGUUUAUGAUAGUCACCAGCUAUAACAGACACUGCCUGAUGCCUUUCCAAUAUCCACUUCCCUUUUCUUUUUUUUCUUUUUGGAACAGAGUCUCACUCUGUCCCCCAGGCUGGAGUGCAACAGCACGAUCUCGGCUUACUGCAUCCUCUGCCUCCUGGGUUCAAGCAAUUCUCAUGCCUCAGCCUCCCUAGUAGCUGGGAUUACAGGCUCUCGCCACCACGCCCAGCUAAUUUUUGUGUUUUUAGUAGAGACGGGGUUUCGCCAUGUUGGCCAGGCUAGUCUUGAACUCCUGACCUCAGGUGAUCCACCUGCCUCAGCCUCUCUAAGUGCUGGGAUUACAGGCGUGAGCCACCGUGCCUGGCUCUCUUUUCUUACUUAAUGUCUGUGUCAAUUAAAUAGAAAUGUAUCAAGUUAAAAACCUUGCCUCGGUAGCUUCCAGUGCAAAUAAAGGUACCCAUGCCACCCCAUUCUGGCCAGCAGUAAAAUUGAUGGAAGCCUCUGGUUGGGGCUUCAAGGAAAGCUUUAUCAAAAGAUAAACUCACUGGCUUUGUCCCUUAGUUCAGUGGUCCCCAACCUUUUUGGCACCAAGAGACCAGUUUUGUGGAAGACAAUUUUUUCCAUGGACCAGGAGGGUUCCGGGGGAUGGUUUUGGGAUGAAAAUGUUUCACCUUAGAUAUCAUCGGGCAUUCAAUUCUCAUAAGGAGCCUGCAACCUAGACCUCUCACAUGUGCAGUUCACAAUAGGGUUCAUGCUCCUAUGAGAAUCUAAUGCCACUGCUGAUCUGACAGGAGGCAGAGCUCAGGCAGUAAUGCUCACUAGUUCCGUUGCUCGCCUCCUGCUGUGCAGCCCAGUUCCUAACAGGACACAGACCAGUACUGGUUCGCAACCCAGGGUUUGGGGGCCCCUGUCUUAGUUCCUUUGCCUUCCUUCCAGAUGGAUGCCUGGAGGAACAAUCAUCCCGCAAUUGUGAAAAUUGAAGCCAUAUUUUAAAGUUGGUUUCAAUUGUAAUACAGAAGAAAUCUGGACCUUGAUGACAUUUGAGCUAGAGUACUAAUCUUGAUCUUCCUAUUCAUGAGCUUGUUGCAAGAGACAAGACUUUUACUGAUUUAACUCAUUGUUGGGAUUUCUUGGAACUAAACACAGUCAUAAUACAUUUUUUCCUUCCCAGGAAAAUGGUAGAGCAUGACUUUUCAAAUCUAAUAAAACUCAUGUGUAGCUAAAACCACUCUACUGAAACAAUUCCAUCUCAGCCCAUGGUACAAGGGAUUUUCCUGAAUGAAAAAUGGUGUCUGAUCAUUUUGUUGGUUUCUUUGUUGGUUUUUCCUGAAACUUAGGGUUAAAGAAUCCAGGAAAGUUGUCUUAGAUAGAGUUAUAAUUUCCGUGGACAUCAACUGAUAAAUGCAAUUACAGUUUGUAUGCCUAGGUUUGGCAAAAAUCAUAUAAGCAACAUCCCUCACAUAAUAUUGUUUUAAUUAAAUUUUAUUUCUUUCUUGGUAUGAAACAUACUGCAGAAGCACAAUCAAUGAACAUUGGAUAGUUUCCUUAAAUCUUGCUCUUUGUCCUAUUUAUAUAAUUUAUUGUGUCAGUGGUUCUCAAGUGGUAUGCUCCUGCAACUCAUCAUCUGAAAAUCCUUCCCAGAUGUGCUGAAAAAUUUUCAUUAAUUUGUAUAUUCUAUUUUAUUUUUAUAACUAAGUACACAUGCUUGUGACUGGAAGAGAAGACACCCCUCAUUUAAUCCCAGAGGAAUAUUUGGCCUUGAUUCAUGCCCUGCUCACUCCACCCCAUUAUUAAGAUAGAGAUCGCUGAAGAAAUCCCUGCUCUAUAAAUGUAGCUGAUCCAAAAACAAAAUGGAAAUUCAUUAUUUUAAAUAUUUCUACAAGAUCUUUGUACAACUCUAUUUUUUUUUCCUAUUAAGAAUUACAUGAUUCUAGAAUAAGUUCCAACCCUAAGUAUCAACACUGGAACACAAUUUUAAAACAGGAGGCGAUUAUCUCUAUAGUGAGAUUUAACUACAGAGGUGAUAGCUCUGGUUAGUGAAUUUCAGGACUAGAAAUCAGGCCUGCUGUCUCUUAGCUUAGAGGAGGUAUAAUAAGAAGAGGAUUAGAACUACUGUGUAUAUUAACAAGAAGAACUCUAUUAUGUUCAGCUAUCAUUAUAUAUGAUAUUAUGUUUCUUUUUAUGAACUAUAGUUCACUGUCUUUAAGCAUAAUGUUUGCCCAAGGUGGGGGUGUUGGUGUGUGUCUGUGUGUAUAUGCAUGUGUGCACAUGUGUGUAUGUAUAGUUGAUUCAUUCAUUCUGACCUACUGAAUUUACUGAAGGAAUAAGAAGAAAUACCUUGAACUGAGGGACCUGGCUUAGCUCAACAUCUGUACCAUCUACCUUUGAGUAUCCAUUCCUUUACUAUGAAGCAUGGAUGCUAAAACUAAAAUUGCAUUUGCUAAACUACUUUGUAGCUAGAUUCCUGGGUGAGAUUAGAUUUGGUCAAUUAGAUGUUCUUGUGUAACAUUUAGAAGGUGAUAGUAAGGCAAAGGUCAUGUGACUGGCUGAUUUUAUUUAUGUUCAAUGAUCUUUAUUGGGGUACACUUUAUAUAUAAUAAUAAAUAAUGCACACAUUUUAAGUGUACAAUUUGAUGAGUUCUGACAAAUUUAUAUGCAUGUAUAACCAGCAUCAAUAUCAAGAUAUAUAAUGAUCCCCUCAUUCCAGAAUAGUCUCUUGUGUUCUUUCCAGCCAAUGCCCCACCCCUGGAUUCUGGCAACAAUUGAUCUGCUUUUUAUUACCAUGGAUUAUAUUUGUCUUUCCUAGAGAUACAAAUAAAUGAAAUAAUGUAGUGUGUCCUCUUUAACUUUGGCUUAUUUCUCUCGGCACACUAUUUCUGAAAUUUGUCCAUACUGUUGAUAUGGCAGACAGAAUUUUAAGAUGGUUCCUAAAAUUCUUGCCUCCUGGUAUGUAUAAUUUUCUCUCGGUUUUCCGCUGAACACUAACCUAGGUGCUAUUGUAAAGGGAUUUCUCAAGUGUAAUUAAAGUCCCUAAUAAGUUUAUUUUAAGUUAGAAAAAUUUUCCCAGGUGAGCUUGAGCUAAGUGAGUGACCUAAGCAGGUGAGUUGUUAGAAAAAAAUUAAGAGAUAUUUGAAGCGUAGACAAAAUUCUGUUGGCUUUUAAAAGAAAACUUCCAUGUGAUAGAGAAAGCCAGAUGAUAGGGAACACAAGGUUACCUCUAAAUUGACAACCAGCAAAAAAGCUGAGACUUCAGUCUUAUCAUCAUAAGGAAUUGAAUUCUGUCAACAGCCACGUGACCUUAGAGGAGGCCCCUGAGCCGCAGAUGAGAUCAUGGCCCUGGCCAAUACCUUAAAUUCAUCCUGGUGAGAUAUGAGCAGAGAACUCAGCUAUGCCAUGCUCAGAUUUCUCACCUGUAGAGCAGUAAAUUAAUAAGUGAGCAUUAUUUGAAGCUGCUAAGUUUGUGGUGAUUUGUUACACAUCAAGAGAAAACAUAUGCUGUAUAUAUUAUUAGAUUUUUCCUUUAUAUUGGUGGGUGUAUUUGUUAUCUAUUACUUCCUAACAAAUCGACAAUAAUUAAGUGUCUUAAGACAACACAUAUUUAUUACCUCAUAGUUUCUGUGGGUCAGAAAUCUGGGCAUGGUUUAUGUGAGUUCUUUGAUUUAAAGUUGUUGGCAAAUCUGUAAACAAGGAAGCAGUCAGGACCGAGGUCUCAUCUGAAAGUCAACUUGGGAUGGGUCUGCUUCCAGCCUCACUUAACAUAACAGCUGGCAGGAUUCAGUUGCUCUUGGGUAGUUGGAUUGAUGGCCUCAGAUAACUAGGUAGCUAUUAGCUAGAUUUCACCCUCAGUUUGUUGCCGUGUGGGCCUCCCUAAGGUGGCAAUUUACUUCAUCAAAACCAGCAAGGGAGAGAGUUGGCUACAAUCUCUAGUAAUGUAGCUACAGAAAUGACAUCCCCUUAGCAAUGAGAUAUUUUAUUAAUUAGAAAGAAAUUACUCAACAGGAGGGGAUUACACAAUGUAGUGAAUACCAGGAGGCUGAGAUCAGAAGGAGCUAGUGUAGAAGCUGCCUACCACAGUGAGUAGUAUUCUAUUACAUGAAUAUACCAGAAUGUCUGAAUCCACCCAACUGGGCAUAGACGUUUGUGUUCAUUCAAGAUACAGACUAUUAUUAUUUUAAAAAUAAAAGUUACUAUGAACAUUUAAGUAUAAGCUUUUGUGUGGGCGUGUUUCAUUUGUUUUGAAUGAAAUUGCAGGGUCGCAUAGAAAAUGCAUAUUUAAUCUUAUAAGAAGCUGCUUAAAAUGCUUUGCAAUGUGAUUUUACCAUUUUACACUCCCAACAAUGUAUAGCAAUAUAUCAUAGAUCUAGUGGUUUCAUAUCUCCACAAACACUUGAUAUUGUCACUCAGUUUAAUUGUAGCUACUUAAAUAGGCUUAUAAUGGUACUCGUUAUGAUUUUAAUAUGCAUUUCCCUAAUGCCUAUUAGGGACUAAUUAUGUUAAGCAUCUUUUCAUGUAUUUGGAGGCCAUUUGUGUACCUUCAUUUGUAAAAUAUCUGUUUAAGUAGCUUGCCCAUUUGGAUUGCUUUACAUUUUAUUAUAGAGUCAUAAGCAUCCUUUAUAUAUUCUGAAUAUAACUCUUUUAUCAGACAUACAUAUAUAUCAAAUAUUUUUUUCUAAGUUUGUGGUUUGUGUUUUUACUUUUUAUACUGUUUAUUGAAUAGUAGAUUUUAUAUUCAUUUUAUCCAUUCUGUUAUGAUCGAUAUUUUUUGAACUAUGAAAAUAUUGCUAUGUAAAAAUAAAAAAUAUAUUUUCAUCCCGAGUUUCAUAAUUUUAGCUUUCACUCUUAUAUCUGUGAUUCAUUCUGAGUUUUCUUGUAUAGUUUAAAGUCAGAGUGGGUGUUUGUUUGCUUAUUAAUAUAUUUAUAGAUAUUUCUAAUUCUUUCUAGCACCAUUUAUUAAAAAGUCUCUUUUUUUACCCAUUGAAUUAUUUUUUUUAAAUUGUUAUGUCUAAAAUCAAAUUACCAAAUACACAUUGUCUAUUUUGAACUAUUUAUUCUGUUUCAUUGAUUUUUAUGUGUUCCUUUACACCAAUAUCAUUGUCUUAAUUACUGUAGAUUUGUUGGAAAUAUGGGAGUCAAAUUUAAGGAUUUCAAUUUUGUCCUUUUAUCAAGUUGUUUUGGCUGUUCUAGGUCCUUUGCAUUUCCCUAUAACAUUUGGAAUUAGGUUGUCAAUAUUUCCCCAGAAUAAAGCCUGCUGGGAUUUUGAACAGGAUUGCAUGGAAUCUAUAAAUCAAUUUAGUGAGAAUUAAUAACAUAUUAAGUACUCUAAUUGAUGAACAUAGUAUCAUCUUCCAUUUAUUUAGUCUUUGACUUCUCGGAAAUGUUUUAUAGUUUUCAGUGUGUAGGUCUUGAAGUUUGUAAAAUUCUAAGUGUUUUAUGGUUUUGACUGUAAUUGUAAAUACCUCCCAUUGUUCAUUGUUAGUACAUAGAAAUAAAAUAAAUUUUGUAUUAAUUUGUCUCAUGCAAUCUUCUAUACUCACUUCUUUCCAAUAGUUUUAUGUGGAAUUCUUAG